rnacentral:rRNA from 1 species
GCCGCGUGAGUGAAGAAGGCCUUCGGGUUGUAAAGCUCUUUCAUCAAUGAUGAUAAUGACAUUAGUUGAAGAAGAAGCCCCGGCUAACUUCGUGCCAGCAGCCGCGGUAAU